rnacentral:lncRNA from 1 species
GUGAAUAGAUCUUCAGGAAGAAUCUACCUGCUGUGUCACAGUUGCCGUUGCUUGCUUAUCUGAGCAGCAGUAGCAUUGGCAGAGCUGUUAAUUUCCAGCUGGAUCUGCAUUCUUACCUUCCUCCAACUGGACAGCUUGAGCAAAGCUCUUUGAAAUUUGUUUUAUGACAUCACCAGAGAUGACUGCCGGGUUCCUUUGAUCAUUGCCAGCAACUUCUGAAGGGGCCACUCUAGAGUUCGAUAGCUGCUGCUGCUGAUGCUGCAGCUGCCAAGCCUUCCUCUCCUGCAUUGCUUUCUCCCGCUCCUCAUAGAAGUCAAAGUCAUCGAGAAUUGACGUGUCAGCGUCAUGAUUUUUGAAAAUGCUUAGCAUCUCCAAACCCUGUUCCAGUUUCACCUGAAGUUUCACCCCCCAACAGUAAUCAAUGUAAGCCCGCCCAGAGAGAGCACAUGAGCAGAGAGUUCAAAAACACUGCAUACAUCUAUUCAUCAUACAGAAGGAUCACUGCAAUUGAACAUUGAAAACUAUCUAAUAAACAUCAUUGAAAAGGUGACCAAAGAAUUGUAUCAACUAAUGUCUCACAUAAUAAUGGAAGCUUAGCUAAUUAUUGAUAGGAGGAAUUAUGUCAGCAAAAUAGUCAAAAAGGAAAGGUUGGACUGUGGAGAGCAUUAAUGUGAAAGUCCGGAUCUCUCAUGAAACCCAACUAGCAGCUUGUAGCAGUUUCAAGAAUGUUUCAUGCUCACUAGGUUCAACAAUGAUCUAAAAAUGACCACAAAAAAUUAUUAAAAAAUUGAAUGCAACAUUAUAGGAGACUAGGAGUACAGAUGUGCCACCUCUGCCAUCAGCACUGCAUUGAACCAAGCCAAGAUAUUGAAAAGUUGGCUUCUAAGCCAGUAAGGAUACUGCCUAGUCUAAACUGCAUUCAAAUUUCAUAAUGAAUUCAUCCAAUCUGGUCCAUACCCCGUGAAUGGCAAACUUGGCAACCUACAUGUGUCUGUAUGAACAAGUGCGUGCACACACAGCUUGUUGUGCAGACAUAUAUGUGAAUAGAUCAUACAAGAAAACUCCCCCCAUGUAAGUUAUGAGACAGGAGAUUUCUAAACAGAAAUAAUAACAAAUGGUUUGGUGUAACUAUAUAACAUGCAGAGUGUUGUGUCAUUCAUAUGUUACUGUGUUCUCACUAUUUGUCCUUUUCCUGGAACACCAUACAAAUGCAGGCAUGUUAAAGUGAAUGCAAAUAUUCAAAUCUAAUAUUUGAAUGUAUGGUUUCCAAUAAUACAGAGGAAAAGGGUUUUUUGUCAAAAACAUCAGAGUUCAGCCACUAACUUUAAGUAACAGAAGAAAAAUGAUGAGUUAUGUAAAUCUGGGAUCGGUUAAUUCCAAAAUGAGAGGGAGAAAGUAGCAAAAAGAUAGAUGUCUAGGCAGCACAUGGAGGAAGAUCACCACCAUGCUAAACUGAAGGAUAUUUAUCCACAUAGUCAACCAACUACAUUUGCUUCUCAUGUUUUGGAGGAUUAAAGAUAUCAUUCUUGGGAAGUAAAUCAGGAACAAAACAAAUUUCAAAAAGAAAGCCUGGAUGGGAAGAAUAACAGACCAAGAAGAAAUAUCUUACCUCCUGGGUGUCUCUGCUAUUGGUUAUUGGCUUAUUGUCAUUGUUUUCGAGGAUGAUAUGGCGACACAGAUUGUUCGGGACAUCUUUCACGAUAUGCCAUUUGACAGGGAACUGACCAGUCCAUUUGUCUUGCUGCCAAUAAUUCACACUCCUCUCAAAAUCCACAGGUCCAAUCAUCUCAGCAACCCCACAAAACUGUGCACUGGCAUUUACCUGUACUUGGUAUAACAAAACAGUAGACAUCAAUCCAACUAACAUACACAUAUAUAUAGAUGUGUGUGUGUGUGUAUAACAAUAUGAUAUAUCACAAUAUAUUUUCUAAAAAAAUCCCAAAAUUGAAAAAAUAAAAGGGACAGAAUUUUGCAGUUACCGAGAAAAACAAGAAAACUGGACUGGGAUUGUCCUUCUCUUUUGCCUCAUGAUAAGCUGAAUCUAACUUCCUGUUCCCAUUGGCAGUGCUGGCCCAAACACCAUAUUUGAUGCUCUUAUGGACAUUAUCCUCACUGUAAGAUUUUAUUAUGAAGAACUUGGCAUCCUUGUUCUCCAUAACAAAGUCUGGACUGUUAUAUAACUCACGGUUAGCUUUUGUAGUAGAAUUGUCAAUUUUACCAUCCACUGAUGAGUUCUGUUCCACUGCUGGAUUCUUUGGUCUAGUGGACCGUGGCCCUCGGUUUUGCUCACAGAGAAAGUCUGGGGUGCCAUUGCAACUACACAAUGAAGCACCACCCUUUCCUCGCUUUCUGCCAUUGUCGAUUGCACUCAAACUCCGAACAUUGAUGCCCAAUCUGGGAAGGGACCCCCCAACAUUACUGCCCUGAGGAUAAAUACCACCAUGAGGGUACAGUCUAUCAUGGGAGCUAAAUGAGGAUCCAAAACCGUAAAAGGGCUUUUGUUGCUGUGGAGCCUGAACAUUAUUAGAAAAAAAUGAAUACAUUAUAAAAGCUAAGUCAGUAAAUAUGAUGAAUUCCCAAAGGAACAGCUAAAUAAAUUGAAGUUUCAAUAUAUCAACUGAGUCUUGCAACUAAUAUAUAUAUUUAGUGAUAAACUUGGCUGAUUCUUUUCAAAAAUAAAAAGUUAGCUCGCAACCCAAUGGUUUAAAAUUCUGACAUUUUUCAUUGUAAGACAGAAUACUAAAAUAGAAUAAUAUAUAAAAUUAAGAUAUCAAAUGAUACCUAAAUUCAACAAUUUAUUGCAAAAACAAAGCAAUGCCAAUGCAGAUCUCAUCUUGAAAAGGAAAGGAAAUAAUCAUAAAAUAUGACAUCAUUUUUUCCCGCUAAUGCAACUAUAUUCCCUGCGCAACAGUUUGCUUUGACUGAACUUUCAAAAAGAUGAAAGAUAAGCUUCUUAGUUAAUGUUAUAGAUAUCUGCAGGCAAAAGUGCAACGAAACACAACUAAAUACUACCAUACAAAAAGCCAGGCUGUAUUGAAAUUAACUCUGUAUACUAGCAACUUUGCAAUCUUGAAAUCAAUUACUUGUCAUCAAAAGAAAUAGAAUGAGGUACCAAUAUCAUAGUUAUAACUUCAACCUAGUCCAUGACCAGCUGAACAAAAAUACAAUAAGUAUCUCUAAAAGAUCUUAAUGUUAACAUAGUAAUUUUUCUUUUCUUCAAAUAACUUUACUUGCUUUCUUUUUUCCUUUCCUUCUACAUGGAAAAAUACCAUUAAUUGUGUUCACAGUGCUACUCAAAUAAACUAUCCAGCUUUUUUAACAAAAUAUGAAAAACAAAAUCAUAGAUAUGACAAUAUUUAUUGGCAUCUUGCUGUAAGCAGACAAUAAUUUACCCAAACACAUGCCUUAGAACAAUAUACAAAUUAUGUAACUUUUAGAUUUUUGGGGAGGGGAACAAGGUAUGUAUCACACUGUUUCAGAUGUUUGCAGCAAGUGGUAUAACAAUGAGAAAAGAAGCAGGAAAAAAAAAAUACCAUUCCAGCUAAAGGCAUUGUGCUUUGCCCAAAUGGCCCAAGUGCACCAAUCGGCUGAGGUGAAGCUGCUGGUGACAAUGGAGUCAAUGGUCCUGUCCCAUCAGGAGAUUUCAACCAAUCUGACCAUAAGCCGCCAGAGCCAAAACCAUCAAGCCCUUGCCUCAAAUCAUAGAAACCAGGAUUACCAAAAUUUCCAGCAAAGCUACCUCUACCGAAAGAGCCGUAUGAAACAUGAUAACGAGGUCCUGGUCCAAAAAGCAUGCCACUGGAAUUUGAAGCAUCAGCAAGAAAAGCUCCUUGUUGGUCAACUGGUAUUGUUAACUCAGCUUGUGAAACUGGAGUCGGAGAAGUAAGAAAUGGCAUGCUAGGAGGAACUGGUUGCUGGUAGUAAGGGCCCGAGAAGGGGAAAUGCUGAGGAGUGUAGAGAUGGCCAUCUCCACUGGCAGGAGGCAAAGGUGUUGUAACUGGAGAAUAAGGUCCAUAAGGCAUCUGAGGACUGUACCCAUAUCCAGUAUGGUACAUGAGAGAGGGAUUCUCAUUGUAGACACCCUUCAAAACAAUAAGACACGUCUUGUAAGACCUAAAUAAGGAAAAAGAAGGCGUGGUACUAACAAAUGAAGAAUUAUACUUACGGUUGGUCCAACUUCCAAGCCCUCGACAUUUAAAAACCGAGGAUAUUCUUCGAACUCACCAGUAGCAUUCUCAUACCCUGAAGGCAUGCACAGAAUUAAUGCUAGAUGUUAGCUCAAAAUUGAAAUGAUACGCAAAAUAAUCUUCUUGGAAACAUAAACUUAACCAGUUUUUCAAGUCAUUUUGCUUUGUUUGAAAACAAAAGAACCAUGUACAAUUUUUUGUGAGUAGAAGAAAAAGAAAGAGGUAGAAUGCAACAUUGUGAUUCUGAUUACAUAUUUACAUUUCAGAAAUUCAUACAUAAUAGCAGAUUGCGAUUGUAUAUUAUAUUAUACUCCAUCAUAUUCAUUAUAGGAGUGAAAAUAAGUAAAAUAGUAUAUGUCAUGCCAUGAUUCAAGAAUAUUCAAGGACAGUAUAUCUAUUUUAAAUAAUAUUUCAAACAUUGUAAUCCCCUUAUGACAUUGACACAUCCACUUCAUACUCAUAUAUCGAGACAUGUACAAAUAUUAGAUUUGAGACAAAUAAAUCUCAACACAAAAAUAUAACUUCAUGAGGAUACCAAUAAAGGUUCAAUAACGAAAACUAACCACCAGAGAAGAAUGCUUGUGCCUGAGGAGCAUAGAUAUUGGUUGGAUAAGCAGCACUACGGUCUCCACCUGCAUCCAAAGAACCCAGCUGGCCUGGGGCAUCUUUUGGUAGAUUCAUAGUGUUUGAGUCAUGUGAAACAUUAGGUGAUACAGACGUCUCAUCUUUAGCAGAAAGUGGCUGGCAGUAAAAAAUAGUCAGCAUCAGCUUGGAAUUUAUUAACAUCAAAAUCAAAGAUACGUUGAUAGAGUAAUUACCUGUUCAUUUGAAUCCUCAGCACAAAGUGUUUUCUGCUCAGCAUCUACUUUUGAUAAUUCCACAGGCUCCAUU